ACAGAAUAGCAUUAUUCAAUGUUCAAAUAUUUAUAGGAUUAAGAUGGGCAUGCGUGUCAUUAGCUAGUUGGCGGGGUAACGGCCCACCAAGGCGACGAUGACUAGGGGAUCUGAGAGGAUGACCCCCCACACUGGUACUGAGACACGGACCAGACUCCUACGGGAGGCAGCAGUAAGGAAUAUUGGUCAAUGGAGGCAACUCUGAACCAGCCAUGCCGCGUGCAGGAAGACGGCCCUAUGGGUUGUAAACUGCUUUUAUCUGGGAAUAAACCUUUUUACGUGUAAGAAGCUGAAUGUACCAGAAGAAUAAGGAUCGGCUAACUCCGUGCCAGCAGCCGCGGUAAUACGGAGGAUCCAAGCGUUAUCCGGAUUUAUUGGGUUUAAAGGGUGCGUAGGCGGCCUGUUAAGUCAGAGGUGAAAGACGGUAGCUCAACUAUCGCAGUGCCUUUGAUACUGACGGGCUUGAAUAAACUAGAGGUAGGCGGAAUGAGACAAGUAGCGGUGAAAUGCAUAGAUAUGUCUCAGAACACCGAUUGCGAAGGCAGCUUACUAUGGUUUUAUUGACGCUGAGGCACGAAAGCGUGGGGAUCAAACAGGAUUAGAUACCCUGGUAGUCCACGCCCUAAACGAUGAAUACUCGCUGU
rnacentral:rRNA from 1 species